AGCGAACGCUGGCGGCAGGCCUAACACAUGCAAGUCGAACGGACCUUUCGGGGUUAGUGGCGGACGGGUGAGUAACACGUGGGAACGUGCCUUUAGGUUCGGAAUAACUCAGGGAAACUUGUGCUAAUACCGAAUGUGCCCUUCGGGGGAAAGAUUUAUCGCCUUUAGAGCGGCCCGCGUCUGAUUAGCUAGUUGGUGGGGUAAUGGCCCACCAAGGCUACGAUCAGUAGCUGGUCUGAGAGGAUGACCAGCCACAUUGGGACUGAGACACGGCCCAAACUCCUACGGGAGGCAGCAGUGGGGAAUCUUGCGCAAUGGGCGAAAGCCUGACGCAGCCAUGCCGCGUGGAUGAUGAAGGUCUUAGGAUUGUAAAAUCCUUUCACCGGUGAAGAUAAUGACUGUAGCCGGAGAAGAAGCCCCGGCUAACUUCGUGCCAGCCGCCGCGGUAACAC
rnacentral:rRNA from 1 species